rnacentral:rRNA from 1 species
GAUGAACGCUGGCGGCGUGCCUAAUACAUGCAAGUCGAGCGGACAGACGAGGAGCUUGCUCCUCUGACGUUAGCGGCGGACGGGUGAGUAACACGUGGAUAACCUACCUAUAAGACUGGGAUAACUUCGGGAAACCGGAGCUAAUACCGGAUAAUAUAUUGAACCGCAUGGUUCAAUAGUGAAAGACGGUUUUGCUGUCACUUAUAGAUGGAUCCGCGCCGCAUUAGCUAGUUGGUAAGGUAACGGCUUACCAAGGCAACGAUGCGUAGCCGACCUGAGAGGGUGAUCGGCCACACUGGAACUGAGACACGGUCCAGACUCCUACGGGAGGCAGCAGUAGGGAAUCUUCCGCAAUGGGCGAAAGCUUGACGGAGCAACGCCGCGUGAGUGAUGAAGGUCUUCGGAUCGUAAAACUCUGUUAUUAGGGAAGAACAAAUGUGUAAGUAGCUAUGCACGUCUUGACGGUACCUAAUCAGAAAGCCACGGCUAACUACGUG